rnacentral:tRNA from 1 species
GGCAAGGUGGCCGAGUGGUUAAGGCGGCAGACUCAAGUUCUGCUGGAGCAAUCCGCUUGGGUUCGAAUCCCAAUCUUGUCA